rnacentral:misc_RNA from 1 species
CUGUUGCUGUUAUGGCGCCUUCCUAAUCAACUUUUUCGUAUCUCCAUUUUCAACUCUCAGGCAUUCCUAGCCCUGUUGUACAUCACAUUGAGAAAUAUAUAUGCACAGGGGUAAAUAUAUACACCGGUUAUUAGAACAUUUAUCACCAUGUGGCAGAUCAAACAUCGAUAAUUUGAUCGAGAGGCCAGGACUCUAGCCCACCAGACAUCUGAAGGUUGUUAUCAUCAAACAAUAGGACUUUGCAAACCACAUGGAACCACCGCCUGCAAAUUCGGCCAGGCAUCGCAAAGGGUUCAUCAUCCUCGGGAACUGUUGCAGAAGCAAGAUAGCUUCAGCUAGAUGUCAUUUAUAAUGCAGCACUUCCUCAUUGCGAGGGCUCUAACAGUUCCAAGAGGUCGUGCAAGUGUUGUGUAAGCAGUUGUCUGCACAUGACUUUUCGGCAUCAACAUCCAAGUGGCUAUUGUUGUCAAGCCAUGGCAGCAUCGGUUUAAGUAUAGUUAAUCAGCAUGGCUCACUAAUGAUGAAUUCCACUGGUAGAUCUGGAGCAGCCUCUGAAAUUCUGGAGCGAGCACUCGGAUUGUGCCUAGCCUGAUCAGCGAGUGGAGUACGUGAAUGGCCCGCGUGAGGUUGCACUAGAAGUUGUUUACACAUAUGUACUAAACCAGUACCGGAAACCAUCUCCUUCUCUACGUUUCCAUGGCCACUGUGUCGCCGCUGCAAAGCGUGGAGUUCAACUGCAGUGUAAUUCUACCACGCAGACAUGGAAAGCAGGGGUACUGCUUUCCCAUUUUAGGAAUGUGAACAACUGCACAGGGUAACUACACAACGCCUCAAAAAAAUGCUGAAGUAUAUCUAGCUGCCUGACUGCACCAGAAAUGAUGGCACCACAUUUUCAGAGUUCCGGCGAAAUAAGUGUCUGCAAGACGGAGCACGCUGGAUUUUUUGACGCGAGGUAUCCUCCAAAUCUGCCAGUGGAAAAUGCGAACUUGCUCCGAAUCUACCAGCGAAAUGCAGAUUCUCGGCUUGCUCCCACUUGAAGAGUGGAAUUCGCCAUAAGAUGAGAAACUACCACACUGAAGAAAAGUAACCUCACAGAACUCAGCCUAAUUACAGCUUGACAGAGCCCCAGCCAUGCAGAGGUGGUGAAAGCAGGGUACAUCUCUCAAAUUUUGCUUCACAAGAAAAUGUAAGUGCACAUACAUGUCUAUUUAGACAAUUUUUCACACUCAGAUUUGUACCACAAUGUACAAAGUGUAUGCACAUAUGCCGUGAGGUUAACAGAUGUAUGCAAUGAAAAAAAAAAGUCUCUGUAGAAAGGGAGAUAGAAAAUGCAUCUUAAUACAAGUACACAAUGUUUUGACUAACACAAAUAGACACAGAA